AUUCAGAAGAAUUCAACUGUUCAGCUGUUGAAUGAUAUAGACAUGAACUAAAACUUAUUUCUGACAGAG